rnacentral:rRNA from 1 species
GGGAAACCGGUGCUAAUACCGCAUAUUCUGACGAAGUCUGCGGAUUUUGUCUCGAAAACCAGAAAAGUCGCUAUGAGAGGGGUCCGCGGCUGAUUAGCUAGUUGGUGAGGUAAUGGCUCACCAAGGCCACGAUCAGUAGCCGGUCUGAGAGGACGGUCGGCCACACUGGAACUGAGACACGGUCCAGACUCCUACGGGAGGCAGCAGUGGGGAAUUUUUCGCAAUGGGGGCAACCCUGACGAAGCAAUGCCGCGUGGAUGAUGAAGUAUCUCGGUACGUAAAAUC